UGUCAUAAAUAAAUUUAUAAAAUAGUAGCUGAGUUGUGUUGUUAUGUUUGUGAAUGUAAUAUCUGGCUAGGCAAGAUUCAGUUCGGCUUCGUUCUUGUUGUUUUAGCUCUGAAACAAGUGGAACUGCUCCAUAUUAUUGACGUUGUCAGACGCUGAUAGCAAUCCAAAUUAUCAAGAAGACGAAACGGAAGAUUACUCAAAAAUAAAUUUGGAGGAUUAUGGAUGCGACCUAAAACCAGGCUUUUUGUGACGAAGAUCGCCUGGGAAAUAAAGAAGACAUUUUUCAUCGUCGUAUCGAACAUGGGGGACGAUUUAUUACUUAUUGUACUGAAUUUUAUUUUUAAAAUGCACCCUCUAAAUCCUGAUUGACACUUGCUUGCGUUCGCGUCUGCGUCGUGAAGUAAGCAUGCGCAGUACCGGCUUCUUUAAGAGGAACGCAAGAGUGAAGCAAGAAGAACGCAAGCCGUUCACACACAAAAACUUAAGCAAUAUGGAUAGUGAAGAAGCACUGAUUUUUAAUAAAAAAAAGUACAUCAACAUUAUUGGAAUAUGCUUUGUAGAGAAUAGAUUCAACAUUCAAUUUUUUCGGGAAAUUUCAUGAAUGGUAAAAUUAUGUAUUUUAAAAACGUUUUUGCUUUGACAUCAUGAAAAUAUGCCGCAAGAGCAACACAACGACGCACGAUAUAAAAAAAAAUUGAUAUUUUUGCGUCGUUGCGUCGCUCUUGCGCCACUUAUUCAUUCAUGUUCACACGGUGCGCAAGAUUGACGCAGACGCAGCACAGACGCAAGUAAGUGUGAAUCAGGCUGAAGAUAGAGGCUUUUUAAGUGAGCCAUUGUUUUAAAAUACAUUUUUUGAUAAUAGCUAUACACUGUUAUUUUGAAACUGUAGAAAACUUAUUUUUCACAAAUUAUAUGUUGAAUAGAACGUA